GACGAACGCUGGCGGCGUGCCUAAUACAUGCAAGUAGAACGCUGAAGGAGGAGCUUGCUUCUCUGGAUGAGUUGCGAACGGGUGAGUAACGCGUAGGUAACCUGCCUGGUAGCGGGGGAUAACUAUUGGAAACGAUAGCUAAUACCGCAUAAUAGUAGAUGUUGCAUGACAUUUGCUUAAAAGGUGCAAUUGCAUCACUACCAGAUGGACCUGCGUUGUAUUAGCUAGUUGGUGAGGUAACGGCUCACCAAGGCAACGAUACAUAGCCGACCUGAGAGGGUGAUCGGCCACACUGGGACUGAGACACGGCCCAGACUCCUACGGGAGGCAGCAGUAGGGAAUCUUCGGCAAUAGACGGAAGUCUGACCGAGCAACGCCGCGUGAGUGAAGAAGGUUUUCGGAUCGUAAAGCUCUGUUGUAAGAGAAGAACGAGUGUGAGAGUGGAAAGUUCACACUGUGACGGUAUCUUACCAGAAAGGGACGGCUAACUACGUG
rnacentral:rRNA from 1 species